rnacentral:rRNA from 1 species
CCAGCAGCCGCGGUAAUCGAGGGUGCAGCGAUAUCGGACUACUGGCGUAAGCGUACGUCAGUCUCAUUUAGUCAGAUGUGGAAAUCCAUAAGCUUAAAUAGGAACUGCAUUGGAAACUGAUUAGCUAGAGUCUUGUAGAGGAGUGUAGAAUUCCAGGUGUAGCGGUGAAAUGCGUAGAGAUCUGGAGGAAUGCCAGUGGCGAAGGCGACCCCCUGGACAGAGACUGACACUCAUGUACGAAAGCGUGAGGAGCAAACAGGAUUAGAUACCCUCGUAGUUCAUGCUGUAAACAAUGUCAAUUUGAAGGUUGUAGCCUUGAGUUAUAGCUUUCGUAGCUAACGCGUUAGAUUGACCGCCUGGGGAGUACGGCCGCAAGGUUAAAACUCAAAUGAAUUGACGGGGGCCCGCACAAGCGGUGGAGCAUGUGGUUUAAUUCGAUGCAACGCGAAAAACCUUACCUAUUCUUGACAUCCAAAGAAUAAAACAGAAAUGUUUUAGUGCCUUAGGGAACUUUGAGACAGGUGCUGCAUGGCUGUCGUCAGCUCGUGUUGUGAAAUGUUGGGUUAAGUCCCGCAACGAGCGCAACCCCUAUCCUUUGUUGCCAUCGAGUAAAGUCGGGAACUCAAAGGAGACUGCUGGUGAUGAACCGGAGGAAGGUGGGGACGACGUCAAGUCAUCAUGGCCCUUACGAAUAGGGCUACACACGUGCUACAAUGGCAUAUACAAAGAGAAGCGAUCUUGCAAAAGCUAGCAAAUCUCAUAAAGUAUGUCGUAGUUCGGAUUGGAGUCUGCAACUCGACUCCAUGAAGUCGGAAUCGCUAGUAAUCGUAGAUCAGAAUGCUACGGUGAAUACGUUCCCGGGCCUUGCACUCACCGCCCGUC